AACAAACGCUGGCGGCGUGCCUAACACAUGCCAAGUCGAACGAGAAAGCCCCUUCGGGGGCGAGUAAAGUGGCAAACGGGUGAGUAAUGCAUGAACAACCUGCCCUCAAAUCCGGGAUAACAUCUUGAAAAGGGUGCUAAUACUGGAUAAGACCACAGCUUAUAAGAGUAGUGGUAAAAGGUAGCCUCUGUAUAUCAAGCAUUGUUUGAGGAGGGGUUCAUGUAUCAUUAGCUAGUUGGUAAGGUAACGGCUUACCAAGGCUACGAUGAUUAGCCGGCCUGAGAGGGUGACCGGCCACACUGGGAUUGAGAUACGGCCCAGACUCCUACGGGAGGCAGCAGUGGGGAAUUUUGCGCAAUGGGGUAACCCCUGACGCAGCAACGCCGCGUGGAGGAUGAAGGCCUUCGGGUUGUAAACUCCUGUCAGAAGGGAAGAACAGCAUGCAGGUUAAUAGCCUGCGUGUUUGACGGUACCUUCAGAGAAGCCACGCUAAC
rnacentral:rRNA from 1 species